CAAUAGUUAUACCUCAAAAGCAACACAACUUCUUACGGAAAUGGUUGGGAAGGGCUUUUCUGCAGAUAUAUUCACUGCCACCUUAUUUAUGGAUCUCAUUGUACACUCUAAUAAAUCAAUUUUACUCUGAAAUGUUUCAUAAAUUGUGUAAAGAUCAUCACUUGCAAUGUGGAUCAGUUCGUAACUAUUGCACAGUGAUAAUAGAUUCUGGAAACUUGAAUGAGGUUUAGUGUCUAUUUUCAAAUUUGUUGAUUUUGUUUUGAGUUGUGUAGUAAGUGAGAAUCUUGUUGGUGAUAAUGUUAAGAAAUUCGGGGAAAACCAAUAUCUGUUGCAAUGACAAUAGCAUCGGUUUCUACCUGCUCAGGACUUUUAAGAAGCUUUUAACUUCUUAAAAGUGUAGAACUCAAUCAAAUUUAGGGUCUGAUUAAUUGAAAACACAUUUUCCGAAAAUUGAUUUUUGGAAAAUAAUAUGAUUUUUUUUUAUAAAUGUAAUAUAUUCUUUUGUUCUAAUGAUUUUAGGUAAAACAUUCUACAUUAUUUGAUAAUUUUUUUCUCAACUUAUUUUCCGAAAAUUAUUUUAAUGUUUUGAUUAUUUUAUCACAAAAACUGUUGUAAAAUAAAGUAAUCAUUUUCAAUCAAACUUAGAACUUAAUUAGUAGAACUUUAAAUUUAAUAUCUAUCAAUAUAAUUAUUUUUUAUGAGUCAAAAAAAAAAAUCUUGAGUUCAAAUUUUAUUGAAAGCAUUUUUGUAAUCAAUAGAUUCAUAUCGAAUAUUAAUGGAUAUCUCUACAUUUGCAGUAAUGCGGAUUUGGAUAAUAGAUGUCCAAGGAUGUCUAUCUACUAGUAAAUAGUAAUUUUAAUAUCAAAUUUGUCAUCACUAAUCAUAUCUUUGCUAUUUUGUAUAUAUAAUAAAUUUCCUUUACAAGUAAAUAUUUGUAAAAGAAAAAAAAAUAAAAAAAGAUACCUAAAUACAGAUAACUUUGGACGUUCCUUUGUGCUGUAAGACAGGCCACUGAUACAAAUAUAUGUUAUUCUUUGCAUUAUCAUCGAGAAAAGAAUAUAGAGGAACAAAUGUAUCCCAAGCUUUAUAUAUGCCAGAUGGAUCAGCAUUCUGAACAAUCCAUGGAUGGUCAAGUAGCUUAUGUAGUGGGAGGCGCUGGGAAGAAUCUUUGACAAUCAUCUGUAAAUAAUGUUGAAGUGUGUUCAGUAUAUGCCAACGAUGGAGCAUUGUCGUUAUAUUUAUAUAUUUGCAAGUAAUAGAAGCAACUAAAGGUACUUGACUAAUGAGGUCCUUGGCUGAAGAUGAAACUAUUGGUUUUGGAGAGAACUUCAAAUCCACUUGCACAAGCCUAUGAAUGGGGAAAAGAGUGAACAAGUUGUGACAGGUAUCCGAAAGAAGUACCCUAGUGAAAGAGCUAUGAAAAGGAAGCUUAAGUUUCAAUCAUGUUCUUUGUUUCGGAGCUUUAAUCAUGUUCUCUAGUGUCCGCAGGUCGGGUUUACCCUCUAUAAGUGUCUGAAUGUUCUUUGGCCUCAAAAGGGGGCACUCCAUAAAGAAACUCAUAGCACAAACCAGUUAGUUCUAUGGUUUAAUACAUAGUGCAUCGCACGUAGUCCGCCUGCGAUUAAAUGUAUGCACUGACCAUCCAAAAUAUGCAAUCUUUAGUUCACCCUGACAAGGAAUCCAAAUUGACUAGAUAAGCACAAUGAGGCUUUCAUUGAAUAACCAAACGAGUACCAGCCAUGGGUUAGGAAUCAUCUGUGCACCAAUUAACAAGUUCUCAGGUUUGAUAUCUCUCUGUAUGACAUGCUUUCCAUGGCAUUUAAGUGCUCGAGCUGAAAAGGCAACAUACUGCAACAAAUAACAUAAGCAUACAACAUAUAAAUCCAUUGAACACAGUACCAAGAAGAAACUCACGGUAGCAACGCGUCUUUCGCUAAAGCAUUUACAUUUUUGCAGUUUCUUGUAAAGUUAACCUUUGGCUGCAUAUUCCAGAAUCAGAUAAACAGGUUUCUGCAAAAAGGUUGUAUUCAGAAAACCAAAUGUUAAUUCAUAUAUAAUAUUUUCAAUUACAUACAUACAUUGUUGAAUUAUCAAUAUAGGCUUAUACCUGAUCAUAGAAAUAUCCAUAAAGCCUCAAUAUAUUGAGAUGAUGUAGUUGAUGUCCAACUUGAGAUUGUUAUAGUUGGCUUUUAAAAAGAACUUAGAGGGCCACAAUAUGAUUGCUCUACUGCAAAAAUACACAAGGAUCUUGCCACAAAUAGUCAUGUGGUAGUUAAUUGCAUACAAAUAUAACACUUGCAGUUUCUUAUUUGGAAUGUAGGCAAAAAUCUUGAAUUUUGUGAAAUCAACUAAAGUUAUAGGAACUAUAGUUGUCAUAUCUCAUAUGAAUUAUAUUCGAAUCGUAGUAGCUAAUUUUUUUUUUUUUUACAUCAAUGUGUAUUUGGGAAUGCCAUAUACCAUCCUUUUGUUACAUUUUUUUUUUAAGUUAUUGGACUGGAUAUUUUAUUUAUAGUUAACAAAACAAGUAAAAAUAUACAUAAUCCUAAACAGCUGAGUGAUCCAAUUCGGGAAAAACCUAAAAAAUGGUUCAGAUAGUAUCUACAUGAGAUUAAGUUUAUUCCACAUUUCCACUAUUAUUAGACACUUCCUAAACACAUGGUCAAUAGUCUCCGAACCCCCUCUACAUUUGGGGCAUGUUGUGUUUAAUCUAGAUCUUCUGUUAUAGAGAUUAACUAGUGUAGGCAAAAAAUUCCAAGAAAUUUUCCACGUUAUAAUUUUAUGUUUUGUAGUUAAUUUUAAAUUUCACAAUUUCCUGUAAAAGCCUUUAUGGCAUUCUGAAAAUUUGUAUAUUGACUAUCACAACAACCAUCAAGGAGCAGCUUAUAAGCACUCCUCAUCGAGAAAACACCUGAAGGUUCGUCUCUCCCACUAACAUAUCCUCAUCCUCCAAUUUGGAUUCUUAUAUUUUUGUUAGCAACACUCUCCUCAAGGGUAUUCCUUAUCAAACCCACAUUCUAUUUCCUGUGAAAGUUGUCAGUUAAGUCAUAUACAUUUACUAUGUUACUGUCACUGAUGUUUCCAUAAAAUAUGUAAAUUUUAGCCCCUACCAACCAAGCAUCCUCUCAAAUAGAAAUUUGGUUGCCUUUACUAACCUUCUAGCCAAGACCAUCCUGUAGCAGUCCCUUUAUUUCCCAAAUGCUUUGCCAAGUAUAAGAAGGUGAACUUCUUAACUUUGUUUCCAAAAAAUCACAUUGAGAAUGGUGCUUAGAUUUUAAAAUAUUUUUAACAUUUUUAUCCAUGUCAAGCUUGGUAAAAAUUUUAGACCUAUUUUAGAUCAGGCCUAAAAUUUUGGUUGGGCCUAAUCCAAACCCGACCCGACCCAUGAACACCUCUAGUAAUAAUCAUAUUCUUUUAAUUAAUUUUAUUAUUGUAUAAUAAAUUGAUAAAUAAUUUUGUUAAAAUAUUAUAAGAUAAUAAGUGAAUAAUAUAUAUUAAUAUUUUAAUUGAGUAAAAAAUAUAAGAUAUUUAAUAUUGGAAUUUUAUAACAAUAAUUCAAAUAUUAUAUUGAUAUAAAUUGAAUUUUAUUAUUUUCGUUACACAUCGAAUGUCGAUGCAUUAUUUUGUGAUUAAAUUUUCAAUUUUCUGCUACUGCCGCCGCCAUUUCUGCUUUCAUUUUGCUUAGUUUCAAGAUAUGGGUAAGCUUCCUUCUUCUUUUAUUCUUCGUUCAGUUGUUAAUGGUGGAAGCCAUCUUUCUAAUUUCCACUCUUUUUCUUCUUCUUCUAACACCAUUGCUACCCACAUCGAAGCCCUAAGUAAGAAACCCAUGCCUGUAAGAGGAAAGGGAAAAAGAGACCACCGCUUCGAUAAUGUUGAUCAUGCUUUUAUUUUGUUCAAUAAGAUGAUUGAAAAGUACCCAAAGCCUUCAAUUGUGGAAUUUAAUAAAUUAUUAGCACCCAUUGCUAGAAUGAAACAUUAUGCCAUUGUUGUUUCUAUGUAUAGACAGAUCGAAUUAUUGGGAGUUUCCCCCGAUGUUUAUUCUUUGAACAUCUUGAUUAAUUGCUUUUGUCAAUUAGGUCGAAUUGAUUUUGGGUUUUCUGUUUCUGGGAAAUUGCUGAAGUUAGGUGCUGAACCUAGUGCUGUAACUUUUUCAACUUUGAUAAAUGGGCUUUGUAAUCAAAGUAAGAUUUCUGAGGCCGUUUGUAUGUUCGAUGAAAUGACUGAAAGAGGGUAUCAACCUAAUUUGAUUGUUUACAGUAUAAUGCUUAAGGGAUUGUGUAAGACCGGUAAUACUGGUAGAGCUGUUAGGUUUCUAAGGCUGAUGGAAAGCAGAGGUUUUGAACCUAAUAUUGUAGCAUAUAAUACCAUCCUGGACUGUCUUUGUAAGAACGGGUUGUUGAAGGAGGCUCUCGAUCUCUUCUCCGAAGUGAAGGUUAAAGGCAUUAGACCAGAUAUCUUUACUUACAGUUGCUUAAUUCAUGGUAUGUGUAAUUUCGGCCAGCAGGAGGAGGCAAAAAAGCUUUUGAAUGAAAUGGUUGAUAACAAUAUUUCACUUGAUAUUGUCACAUAUAAUAUAUUGAUUGAUGCACUUUGCAAGGAAGGAACGAUUUCUAAAGCUGUAGAGAUCGUUGACACAAUGAGAAAGCAAGGCAUUGAACCUAAUGUUGUCACGUAUAAUACAUUGGUUGAUGCGCAUUGCAAGGAAGGGAUGGUCUCUGAAGCUGAGGAUAUUGUUGACGCAAUUAUAAAGCGAGGCAUUGAGCCUAAUGUUGUUACCCAUAAUGCAUUAAUCAACGGCCAUUGCUUGCAGAACGAAAUGGAUAAAGCUAGAAGAGUUUUCAACUUGAUGAUUGAGAAGGGUUGUGCACCUAAUAUAGUUACUUACAGCACCAUGAUCAAUGGAUAUUGCAAAGCGAAGAGGUUAGACGAAGCAAUGGAACUCUUUCAUGAAAUAUCUCAAAAGGGACCAAUCCCGGAUACUGUCACAUACAACACUCUUAUGCAAGGUAUGUUUCAGUUAGGGAAAGUUUCAACUGCUUGUGAACUGUUUAGAAAGAUGCGUGCUUCAGGACAAGUUCCAGAUAUAGUGACCUGUACUAUUUUGCUAGAUGGUUUAUGUAAAACAGGUCAUAUCGAAGAGGCAUUGGAACUUUUUCAAGCGAUGCGAAACAGGGGGUUGGGACUUGAUAUUGUCCCAUAUACUAUCCUAAUUGAUGGGUUGUGCAAAGCUGGGCAUAUCGAAGUUGCAAAGGAAUUAUUUCAUCAACUCUCAGACAAUGGUUUAAAACCGGAUGUUUAUGCUUAUUGUAUAAUGAUUAAUGGACUGUGUAAAGAGGGAUUGCCAGAUGAAGCAUACAGGAUGUUUGGGAGCAUGGGAGAUAAUGACUGUUUGCCUAAUAGUUGCUGUUAUAAUGUAAUGAUUCGGGGGUUCCUUCAAAACAGCUAUACCUCAAAGGCAACCCAACUUCUUACGGAAAUGGUUGGUAAGGGCUUUUCUGCAGAUAUAUUCACUGCCACCUUAUUUAUGGAUCUCAUUGUGCACUCUAAUAAAUCAAUUUUGCUCUGAAAUGUUUCAUAAAUUGUGUAAAGAUCAUCACUCGUAAUGUGAAUCAGUUUGUAACCAUUGUACAGUGAUAAAAGAUUCUGAAAACUUGAAUGAGGAUUAGUUUCUAUUUUCCAAUUUGUUGAUUUUGUUUUGACUUGUGUAGUAAGUGAGAAUCUUGUUGUUGAUAAUCCUACGAAAUUAGGGGAAAACCAAUAUCUAUUGCAAUGACAAUAGCAUCGGUUUCAACUGCAUAGAACUUUUAACUUCUUAAAAGUGUAGAAUUCAAUGGAAUUUAGGCUCUGUUUGAUUGACUGAAAAUAUUUUUUGAAAAAUGUAAUAUUUUCCGUGUUUGAAUUAUUUUAAUUAAAACAUUUUAUAUUGUUUGCUAAAUUUCUUUUUUAAUCAAACUCGGUUAACUUUAAUCCACUGAAGCAACCAUACAAACAAACUUGCCUGCAACUGUGUUAACAAUGGUUACUUGAAAUACAUGUUACAAUAUGGCUAAAUCUUCUUAAGCACACUUGGAUAUACAACCACCUAACUUAAAACAGCAGCACUGACAUUCAAAUAGGCACAAAAUACUACUGCUUGACAGUCCAAGAACCGCUCCUAAUGAUUCGGUGAAUCUUCUUUGAUGAAACAACAAUGAAACCAUCAUCUUAAUUGAACUCAACGAUGAUCUGCCACCCCGAUUUAAAGCCUUAACAACAGCUAUCAAUCACCGAUCUGUAAAAAACAUUUGAGAUCGAAAGCACCUUGACUUUGCCUACGAAUCUGCCAUACCAUUUGCAUCUCUCCCAAUUUUUCUAAACAGUACCUCACGAGUGGACAUCUUAAUCUCAUUAAUGCUUGCUUAAAUGUACCAAUAUUUCCAAGGCCUAGAUUUCUCAUUGAUACACCAAGUAAGCGCAACUAUGGAUUCUGAUUCAACCUUAAGCUUUCAGUCUUUAAUCCACUAGGAAUCCCAGAAGAAAUGAAGAGCUAACUUAAUCGCCAUAAUUUCAGUGAAAUUAGAAUCUGGGACACUUAAAGGACCUGAAACAUAGCAAUGACAUGAUCCUUUGAAUUUCUAAGAACCUCUCCACACCCUGUUGGACCAAGUUUACCUAAUGCCAAAGCAUCAUCGUUAAACUUUAACCAACCUCCAGUUGAAGGUUCCCAACGCGCCACACUCUUGGUCUGAUGGCUACAAAUACUCCCUUCACAAUCUCACAGACACUCCCACCGUAUUGACUCUGUUAGAGUAAUAGUUGGCCUCUGUUAUUGCUGUUAAGUCUGUUGAUAUCAGUUAUUAACAACAGUUAGUUAGUACUUACUGUUACUGUUAGUUGUUGUUAGCAGUUACUGAGUGCAUGCUGUUAUAUAUAAGCAUGCACAGUUUCUUCUCAAAUGGUAUUGUAUUUUUGCUAUAUUCUCUUGAAGUAAUACAAGUAUAUUUCAUCAUUUUACUAUAAUCUUAACAUGGUAUCAGAUGUCCAUUCUUUCCUGGCGUAAUCUCUCAUGACUUCUCCUUCCAAUCCGUCUGAUAUUCACUCGGUUGCCCCAGCGAUGUCCUCCCUUCCAGAUGACGUUGUUGAUAAUCGAUUUUUCUCUUUACGGAUAAAAUCCCUUCUCUUGAUGAAAUCGCUAUAAAAAAGUGAAUCAUUAAUGACCCUUGAAUCCAACAUAGCCUUCUUAACGUCCUCUUUUAACUAUUUGCCCUUCUUUCCUUUUUUUUUUCUUUUGCGAAUCCCUUUGUCGUCUCUUAAUUUAUGUCGAUAGAUUUCUUCAAUGUGAUUAUUUGGAUAUCCGACAUCCACUACGUAAUAUUUACCUACAAUAACGAUAUGAUAACUCACUCAUAAAAGAUAAAUUUAUUACAUCUCUAUGAUAACUCGUAGAGACGAUAAAAGAUAAAAUACUAUAUACAAAAUCAAAACCAGAUACAAGUGCCGCACAAUACCAUAGUUUUUCUUACAUAGAGCUGAUUUUGCUAACCAAUCAAUAUGAUCAUUGAACACCAUCUAAUUUUUUAUAUUAUGUUGUCCUACUAGAUACAAAAUUACAACUAUAGGUAGAACAAAAAACCAUAUAACUACAUAACAUAGUUGCAAGCUCAAUAUAACACCCCUAACUCGUAUCCGACACCAGAAUAAGGUUACGGUGCAUUACCAGACUUAUAACUCAAUCAUUCAAACUUGUCAUAUACAAUUCUCAUUCAAAUCAAAAACCACUCCAAUCCAUUCAUAUAGUCCUUAAUACGAGCCCUCAAGACCCUAAAUAGCCAUUAAAAGUGAUUCGAGACUAAACCGAGCAAUCGAUGAAUUUUUAUGAAAACAUGAAAAAUUUUCAAAGUGUAGGAGUCACACGCCCGUGUGGAAAGGGGACACACCUGUGUGACUAAGGGACACGCCCGUGCUACAAGCCGUGUCCGACCUCGUGUAACUCUCUGACUUGGGUCACACGGCCAGACCACACGCCUGUGUGCCAAGCCGUGUACCCUUUGAAAUGGCCUCACACGCCCAUGUAGCAGGCCGUGUGCUAGGCCGUGUGAAAACUGGAGUGUAUACUAACUUGUACCACACGGCCAAGCCACACGCCUGUGUGGAGCUAGUAGCUUAAUUUCUAAAUAGUAUCAGGGGACACACGGCCGUGUCACCUAGCUGUGUGCCACACAUGGCCAAGACACACGCCCCUUCUCUACCCGUGUGGACAAAAAUAGGCUAUUUUCCAAGUUAUUUUACUUGCCCAAAAUGGUAACCUAAAUACGACUGUUCACACCAAUUUUUGCCCGGCCCAACAAUUAAAACCUAAGGCAACCCACUAACCCCAAAAUAAACCCCAACUAAACCUAGCCCACCAAGCCCACAACUUUUCAAUUCAGAAAAACAAAAGAAAACCCUAGGUGCGCCGCACCUAGGUCUGCCUCUGUCCCAUCGCCCCAUGCCAGUCUGCCACCUGCUCCACCGCCCACUUGCACCUGCAAAACCAGAGAGGAAAUGAUAGCAAGGAUAAUGGCAACGAAUUUGGGCUAUAAAAACCCUAAAAAAAUGUAAGCUUUGGGGAUCUUUUUUUCCUAUUGAAAUAAGAACAGACUUUCAAACACAAAAAAAAGCAGAAAUACAAUCAAGAGACUUAAAUCGCAGCAAGAAACACAAAAAACUGAGGAGUAGAUUCGACUGAAGGUUUCUUUCUUUUUGUAUCUAUUUUCGCUUUUUUUUUUCUUUUCGAACCUAUCUAUUCUUUUUUUUGUCAAUCACAUACAGACACAUAUUAAAAAACACAUCAAAAAGUAUAAAAAUAUAAAAAAACAAACAAAAAGGCGUCUAGUCAGGGACCUCGCCGGAUUCUGGGUUGACCUAGAGAGAAGAGAGAAGCCUCUGUUUUUUUUUUUUUAAACUAUGAUGAGAAUGAAAAUUUUUAAAAAAAUUUAGGCCUUUAUAAAGGACCAAAACGAUGUCGUUUUGGUUGGUCUCCUCAGGCACCAAAACGACGUCGUUUUGGGGAGACCGACCCGUCCCAAUGACAGGAUCCGGGUGUUUUUGACGGAAGUGCUAUUUGCGCGUUUAGCCCUUCCGCUUUUUUAUAACUAUGCAAUUAAGUUUUGAUUCUUUUUAAUUUUGACCCCGAAAUUUGUUUGAAAUUCAAUUUGGGCCUUAUUUGAACGACGUCGUUUAGGGGGGCUGGGAUAUUUUCUCCUUUAGUCCCUCCUCAUCAUUCGCGUGUUUAAACCAGUCCCCUUUUCUUUUAUUUAUUGCAAAUUUGCCCCAAAACUUUGUAUAUAAAUUCAAUUUCGUUCUUUUCAUUACUUUGUUUGUUUUAUUAUUAUAUUAUUAUUAUUAUUAUACUUGUACUUAUAUUUAUUUUAUUCUAAUGCCAUUUUUAUUACUAUUUCUAUUAUUAUUAUUAUUAUUAUAUAUAUACAUAUCCUCUUUACUAUCGUUUUUUUCAUACAUAUAUUAUUUAUAUUAUCACUAUUAUUAUUACUUUACUAUUGUAAUUUAAUGUAUUAUUAUUAUUACUCUUAUUUUCAUUAUUAUUAUUAUUACUAGUAUUUUUUAUUAUCAUUGUUAUUAUUUUUAUUUUUAUUGCUAUUAUUUUUAUUAUUAAUAUUACUAUUGUUAUAUUUAGUAUUAUUAUUGCUUUUAUUAUAACUACUACUACUAUUAUUAUAGUUUUUUCUUACAUUUACGUAUUUUUUUUUAUAUAUAAUACAUUGAUUCUAUUUUAUCAUUUUAUUAUUUAUUCGUUUAUACCUUUAUGUAAUUUCAAACUUUUUUUUAUUAUUUUGUAUCAUUAUUUUGUUUCAUAUAAUACCUAUUUAUAUUUAUAUUUAUAUUAUUAUUGUUAUUUUAUCAUUUUUUGCUUAAAUUACAAAUUUGUUUACACAUUUUACAUAAUACUUAUUUGUAUUAUUUUUAUUAUCAUUAUUUUUUUUUUCUUCCUUAAAAAAAAAACCAUUUCACUCAAUGUUUCUUUAUGCAUAUGUUCAUUUGCUUAUCCUCAAUUUAAAAUUAAGUUUUCACUUGAAUUUUCUUUGUUAUUUCAUUUAUCAUUGUAUUUAUUUCAUUUUUAUUUUUAUUUAUUCUCAUUCUCAUUAUCUUAUUAUAUAUUUAUUCGUUUAUUCAUAUAUGUCUCUAUAUAUCUACAAGUUCAUGUUAUUCGUUAUUUUCAUUGUAUUUAUAUCAUCAUCUUCGUUAUUAUUACUUUAUUACGCAUAUCAAUACUGCAAUUUAUUUUCUCAUUUUAUCAUAAAAUCAUAAUUACAUUAGGUUUUUACUCGACAUAUACAAUUUUGUUUUCUAAAGUAAAGCAAGCUUCGUAUUUAGAAAUUUGAGAAAAUUGUGCCCUAAUUUACUGGGUUUCGAUUUUUCUCGUUUAACCUAAAUAUCGGCAUAUUCAUUUUAAAAUGCAACACGAGUUUUGAAUAAAAUCCUUAUUCUUAGAAAUACGAGGUGUUGUGUCCUAACUUACUAGAUAUGACAUCUCAUCACCUCGAGAUGAGGUUUUUGCAAACAAAGGCAAUAGUUGGUAUUUGGAAGUUUGAGUUAUCGUGCCCUAACUUACUGGGUUUCGAUUUUUCUCGUUUGCUCUAAAUAAUCGAAUACCCUUUUAAAAAAAUUAAAAUACACGGAUUUUUAAGUAAAAGGCAAGCUUACUCUCAAAAAUUCGAGAUGUCGUGUCCUAACUUACUGGAUAUAACAUUUUAUUGCUUCGAGACGAGAAGGUCUUUAACGUUCAAAUGUUUUUUACAAAAAGAGGGAUUGUAUUUCAAAGUUUUUCAAGUUUUCAAUUUUCGACAUUAAGACACUAAUUAAUCAACUAGGUACCAAUUUUUGGGCGUUAUGAGGGUGCUAAUCCUUCCCCGUACGUAAUCGACUUCCGAACCCAUUUUUCUGAAUCUCGAGGACCAAAAUCGUUGUUUAAAUAAAUCAAAUCAUUUAUUAAAAACAACCGCUUUUACGAGGUGACCCGAUCACACCUCAUCAAAAAAGAUUGGUGGCGACUCCCGUUUUCUUGUUUUCAUUUCCAAAAUUCAGUCGACUUCGUUUUUUCAAAAAAAUAGUUUCGACAACGACAAUUUGCAUAUAACCAUGACAUAAUUGGGAAUUCAAGGCCAACCAAUAUCAAGCUUAUAAUAUGUUAUAAUAACACAUGCCAUCAUAAUACAUUUAUCAAUGUGACAAGACCAUUUAAUUAUAUAUAUAUAACAACAUGUAUCAAACAAGCCAAAUCAAAUAGGGUUACAUUAGUCAAACAACCUAUACAUGCCAUUAUAACCAAAAUUAUAAACCAUCAGUACCAAAAAUAGCCGAUAGAUAGUGUGAUGAAAUCUCCGACAAGUUCCAACUCGAACGAGCUUCUAAUAUCUAAAAAUCACGAAAAAAUAAACAGAGUAAACAAUUAAGCUUAGAAAGUUUGCAACUUAAAAAUAAAGUUCAUCGUUUCAAUUUAUAAGCGUAAUCCAUUUAUGUCAAUCCGGCGUGUCAUGGCCUUAGCCUAAACAAUAAUAACCUCUCAAGGUUAAAUAAUACAUUAUCAACCCAAGUUAGCCAUAUAAACACAUAUAUAAACCAAAAAUCACAUUUUCAUGAUCACAAGUAUAUUUUCAUUUAAGUAUUUACUAUUACAAAGCAUAACAUAAAAGUUUAACGUGGUAUAAUCCAACCAAAACUUAAUUUAACCCAAAAGCCUAACAUAUAAUCAUCAACCAAGUUAGUCAUGUAAAUUCACCUAUGAAUCAAUAAUCAUGGAUAAACUCAACAAUUAGUCAAGUUGCAUAAACAUGUCGCAUCCAUUUCAUAUACCCAUAUACCAUAUAAUACCAUUUUCCAUGUAAUUCAUAUCUAUACCUAUAAUAGUUCGUAUCAAACUCUUGUCAUAUCCUAUCAGAACAUUGCUCGUUGAACCAUUUACCAAAUUAGCCAUGUAUUCAUAUAAAAACCAAUAAUCAUGUAUGAGGUCACUAACUAUUUAAAUUCCAUAUACAUGUAACAUCUAUACCAUGUAUUCAUAUAUCAUACACAAACUAUUUUCGUGUAAUUUACGUAAAUUCCUGUGCUAGUUCAUAUCGAUUUCAUAUAAACUCGUAACAGAAUUAUGUAUGAAUAUAACAAUUAUUAAAUUUUAUGUGCAUGUAACAUAUAUACCGUAUAUCCGUAUAUCAUAUAUAUAUACCAUUUCCAUGUAAAUACCUGUAUUAGUUCGUAUCGAACUUGUAUAAUCUCAUAAUAAUACUAUGCUUGUUAAAUCACUUAGAAUAUCAUAGGACACACGGGUAGUACACAUGAAGUGUACUGAACAGUAAUCUAUCAAUUCUUAUACAUGUAUGCUCAUGCGAGCGAUAAACGGUAAGCUCAUCCGAGCUGAAUAUCGGUAAGCUCAUAUGAGCUGAGUAUCGGUAAGCUCUCACGAGCUACAAACCGGUAAGCUCAUAAGAGCUGUGGUGAGUCCGCAAUACAUGUAGGAUCUCAACUAAAAUAGUAACCCUAAUGACCUUGUUAUUUGUAUCCUACGAAUUCUUAAGGUUCAAACAUGGCUCAAUGUUUUUCGUACAACGUCGAUUAUGCAUUUGAUAAUUAUACUUAGUAAUUAAAUCAUUCACAUUCAUGUAUUUCAAUUAAAGCAUAUAAAUACGCAAUUUAAUUAUACGAACUUACCUCAAACUCAAAUGAAUAAUACGAUCGUUUAAUCCAUGACUUUAUCUUUUCCUCUAUUUAGUUCCAAAAGUUGCUUUUCUUGAUCUAUAUAAUCAAAUUUAACUCAUUUAAUUAUAUUUCUAAUUAAUUCGAUCCAAAUUUCAUGUUAUGGAAAAAUUACCAUUUUGCUCUAUACUUUUGACCUUUUUACAAAUUAGUCUCUAGGCUCGUAAAAUGAAAUUCAUGCAAAUUUCUCAACACCCAAGCCUAGCUGAAUUUUAUAGGUGCUCAUAGCAGCCCAUAAAAUUUGCAAAUUCACACAUUUCUCACAUAAAUUUCACAUUUUUCAAUUUAGCCCCCAAAUGACAAUUUCACUAAAAAUCACUUAACAAAAGUUGUUUAUUUAACAACCAAGAUUCAUUUUCUUCCAUUAAACUCCAAAAACAACCAAAAUAAUCUCAUGGAAAAACCCUAUACUUUCACUUAUAAUUAAAUUUAGUCCCCUAAUUAGCUAGCUUAAGCUAUAAAGAUUUCAAAAACAUAAAAAUCAACAAAACGGGUCAAAGAAUCACUUACAUGGAAGGGAACUUAGUGGCUAAAAUUUUCAGCUUCAAAAACCCCUAUUUUGUUGCAAUUUUCGAUGGAGAAGAAGACGAACACUAUUCUUCUUCUUUUUUUGUUUUAUUUUUUUAUCCAACAAAUUACCUAAUACCAACCAACUUUGACAAUUUCAUGAUUUUUUUCUUUUACUCCAUGUGCAUCCAGUAACUCCAUUAGUGGUCUAAUCACUCAAUAAGGACCUCUACUUUAAAUUUAUAUAUCUAUUUGACACUUUUAGCUAAUAUAACACAACUUUUGCACUUUAUGCGAUUUAGUCCUAUUUCACAAAUUGAGUAUACAGACGGCAAAAUUUCUUAACGAAAUUUUUAUACCAUAAUUCUAACAUGACAUAGACCAUAAAAUAAUAUUAAAAUAAAUUUUACGAUAUCAAAUUUGUGGUCCCAAAACCACUGUUCCAAUUUAACUGAAAACGGGCUAUUACACUCUACGGCUAGGAUUGGAAGAAAUUUAGGAAUGGUGUUGAGUCUCUUUGAAAAUUUGCCUAAUGCUACUACUAGUCUUGCACAGAUGGAUAAAUGGUCGAUUUCUAGAUGUUUAGAGAACUACAAUGAUUCUGGUGCUUAGAUUCUUAUAAUUGUCUUUGGCAACCAAAGAAAAACUCUAGGUUAACCUUGAACUAAACAAUCAAAGAAAAUGUUGUGGUAAAAUAUAUAUAUCUAUAUAUAUGUGCGCGCGCGUGCGUGUGUGUGUGUGUGUGUGUGUGUGUAUGUGUGUUUAAUGAGAAAUGAGUGGAGCCUAAGCGGUUCAAGCCUAUAUUGUGUUGUUAAUGAGAAUUUCUACCUUUAUUUAUGAUUAUGUUGGUAAUUUACAACUAUUAUCAUAUUACUACUUAAUCAAGUUUCCUUUUUUUUUCUUUUUAUAUUUCUUAAAAAUAAUUUUACAAUUAACUGAUUUCAAAAUUAUAUUGAGUGAGGUAGUUAGUAUCAUAUUGGUGGGUAUACCGUUUUUCUCUUUGUAGUACCGACAUAUUUCGGUGUACCGUUUAUGUUUGAUUAGCACUACGGUGUGUAUAUUGGUGUGUUGGUGGAUUGAUCCAUAUAUCCAUUAUUAAUCCGAGUCAAUUAUAGGGGUUCGUAAUAACUAAAAGAGUGUAAAUUAUAUUGAUAUAUGAAUAUGCUAAAAACAUGGAUAUUGAGAUUAAUUUGUGUUAUAUGAGACGAGAGGCUAUUACCUAGGGUGCGUCGAUAUUUUGAUAACCGAUAGAGUAAAAUGAAUAUCCUAAGUAUGAUUAAUAGUUGGACAAUUUGAAAUCUAUGUGAUUUGUGGUGAUGAUAAUGUAAGGUUUGUUAAUUUGUAAAGUAGUGAUUCCCAACAAUGCUAAUUUAGUUUAAUUUCAGUUUAUAUAUAUUGAUUUUAAAUUAUUUUAGCACCACUAAAUAUUCAAUACUCAAUGUACGAUUAUGUUUUUUUUUCUUGUAUUCAAGGAUAGUAUCUCAAUUCAACUCGGGUUAAGUUUGUAUUCCUUUAUAUGUAUAUUUGUUAUUAAUGACAUGUACCUAGGUUGGUCAAUUAUGUGCUAUUUUUGCCAUUUUGGUACACUUCUACAUCUAGGAGCUUGUUGGACCUUUUAAGUAUCCUAAGGUUGAAUUUGGUUAUCUAAGUUUGUCGUUUAUAUGAAUGGUUUUCUUAAUUGAUAAUUUCCCAAUUAUACCAGGUAAUCAUGUACAAAAUAGUGUGCUUCUAACUUGUUUGCAUGUGUUAUGAUGUGCUAAUUAUGUGUGCAUUGAUUUAGUAUGUUAAUGAUAUAGGUUAGGUGACUUUUAGAACUCAUUUUCAUGCUUAAAUCAUUACAUUUUGGACUAUUUGGAAUGCUAGUCUUGUAAUGACCCAAAAUUCACAGGCACCGGAAAAAGUACAUUAUCGGGCCUCCGUCUUAGUAAAUCGAGUUCGAAAUAAUUACUAGAAAUAUUUAAGAGUCUAGCGAUGUGUUUAAUUAGGUUUAAAUUAGGUGAAUUUAGCUUAAUUUAGAGUAAUUAGUAAAAAUGACUAAAUUGAAUAAAGGAUGAAAGUUAAAUUAUAGAUUAAAAGAAAAUGAAGAGGACCAAAAUGGCAAUUAUGCCAUUUGUCCUAAGUGAGGCGGCAUAAGCAUAAAAAUCUGAGAUUUUUAUGUGUUAAAAUAUAUAUUAAAUUAUUAUUAUUAAAAGUAAAGUAAAUAGAAAGAAAAUAAAGUAAAGAACAAAGAAAAGAAACAGAAUAGGCAAACGAAAAGCAGGGGAAGGAAAGAAAGAAAGAAGAAAGAAAAGAAAAAGGGAGAAUUAGGGUUUGAAGGUUUGAAAGUUUAAUAGGUAAGUUAAUUUAGCCCUUUUUACUUAAUUUUAAUGUUUUAAAAGCUUUAGAACAAAGUUUUGAUGAAAUUAAAUUAAUAUUUUGAAAGUUAUUAGAAUUCUAAAUAUUGUUCAUGUUGAAUAAAAAAAAUGAAAUAGGGGUUUAAUUGAAUGAAAUUCAAGUUAAAAUAGAUAUAAGGAUUGAAUUGCAAAGUAAGCUAUAAGUUUUGUGUUUUAGGGACUAAAUUGAGGAAAAUUUUGGAAUUAAGAAAAUAUGUUGAAAAUUUAAUAGUUAAAUUUGAGUUUAAAUGAAAUUUGAAUAGACAUAAGGUGUGAAUUGGUGUUAUAAAUUUGGUUAUUAACAUUUUACAUCAAAACAGUUUUGGGAAAUAGCAAUGGUCUGACUUUGAAAAUUCACUAAAAUUUGUAUAAAUUGAACUAGAGGAUGAACAAAAUAUGUAAUUAAAGCUUAUUGAGUCUAGUUUCUUAUAGUAUAAAUAGUGUAAGCAAUUAAUUGAUGAAUCAAGAGAUAUUUGAAACUUUGUAAGACUGGUUCGGAGUGAUUUCGAGAUGCCCUGUUUUAACUUUGGAAAAUCAUUAUAAAUUGUACAAAAAUUAUUAUGGAGUUUAAUUUAUAUGUGUGAACUCCUUAAUUAAUCUAGUUUCAAAAUAAGUAAACAAAAAUCUUAUUCGAGUUCUGUACAAUGAGAUAAUUUAUUUUUAGUAGAGAGAGGAGAGAAUAAAUUCGGGUUCCCCUGUUCUGACUUUGGAAAAUCACAAAAAAUUGAAGAAAAAUAAUUAGAGGCUUAAAGUUAUAUGUUUAGAAUCAUUAAUUAGUCUAUUUUCAGGAGAAAUCAACGGGAAUAUUAUCCGAGUUCUGUAUUGUGAUAUAAUUAAUUUUUAGUAAAGAAUAGUCGGAACUAUUUGACAGCAGAACAGGGGCAACUUUAAAGAAUAAACUGUACUUAUUGGCUUAACCAAAAAUUCUAAAAAUUUUAUGGUAAGAAGAUAUGUGAGUCUAGUUUCAGGGAAAAUUAGUGGAUCUUAAUUUAGAGUUUCCUAGCUCAAGAUAUAAAUGAUUUAGUAACAAUGACUCAAGUAGACAGCUUUGAAUGAACAUAUAAGUAAAUAGUGGAAUUAUGUGUAUAAAAAUGGUUAAGUUUGCAUGUUUAGGCUCAUGGAUUAAAUUGAAUUGUGUUAUAUUGAUGAUUACAAAUUAUUAUUAUUUUCGUAGUUAACAAAGAGCCCAAGACAUCGGCGCACAAAGGAAAGGAGAAAGCUAUCGAGGAUUAAAACAAGAAAUUCACGGUUUGUAUUACUAUAAUUCAAAUUACUUUUUAUUAAAUGCUAUAUAUCAAUUCUAUAUUUAAUAAGUGAAUUAUAAGGUAAGUAUUGAUAUUUGAGUUGAAUGAGAAUUGAAUUGAAUGGUGAAUGUGUAUGUAUAAUUGAAUUGUAAAUUGAUUUGAAUGUGAAAAUUUUAAUUGAAAAGUAAUCUUGGAAUGGAAAUGAAAGUGAAUUGAGAAUUGAAAUACCCUAUUAACUAGUCGGGCUAAGUCGGAUAUAAUUGGCAUGCCAUAGGAUAUGGAAGUGUACGGGAUUUGCCGGCUUUAUCGAUCAGGCACUUUAUGUGUCGUAUUUCAGGCACCUCGUGUGUCGUAUCAGGCACCUCGUGUGUCGUAUCAGGCACCUCGUGUGUCGUUUUAGGCACUUUAUGUGUCGUAUACUGAUCAGGUACUAUGUACCGUUUUAGGCACAAUGUGCCGUACUGGUGUGUUUGGGUUGGAAUCCGUGUAUCCGUUAAAGUCCGAAAUGUUAAUAGGGUGAAUAAUUGAAAUGAGAAGUUCAAAUGAAUUUGAUCGACUGUACUAGUGAAUAUAAAAGAAAUUAAAAUUGUGGACUGAAAAUUUAGAUUGGAAAUGAAAUGCAUGGAUUUAAAAUGAUUGUGGUGAUUAAAACCUGGUAAAUGUGAUUUGUAACUAAAAUCGAAUAAUAGCUAAAGAUUGUUUAUUUAUUGUUAUUUAAUGAUAACUUAAAAAAAAAAGAAUUGUUAUUUGAUGCUGAGUUCUUUAUUUUAUUUUUUUUAAUUGCUAUUGCAAUUUGAAUUAUGGUAAUACCACUGAGUAUGAAAUACUCAGCGUACGGUUGUUUCCGUGCGCAGGUUAAUAGAAGUCUAGUGUCCUGGUCCAGCAUCCGAGUGAUCCCGACUCCAGCAAAUUUUGGGUGAUGUUUUCUUUCUUAAUUGAAAGUGGCAUGUACUAGGUGUUGUAUAAGUUAUAUAGAUGUACUUGUAAAGUUAGUUAUAAGAAUGGUAUACCAUAUUUUGUUAUUAGUUUGAUAAAAUGGUAAAUAUUAUAUUAUAUAAUUUGGUAUAAGUUGGAAUGAAAAAAAAUGAAUGAAGUUAUUAGUUAAUUUGGAUUAAUAUUAUGAAUGUUUAGUUAUUAAAUGACUAUGUUAAUGAAUUGGUUAUGAUUUAAAUAUAUUUAGGUUUAAAUUGUUUUUGAUUGUGCCAUUGGUUUUGGAUUAGGUGGUUUUUGGUUUGAAUUUGCAGGGGAUUUUAUGUAAAAAUUAAGAAGAAAUGCUGUCGAAAUUUUUGUAAAAAAAUAUAUAUAUUUCCCUGAAUACUCGAACAAGUCCCGUUUCAUUCCACUUUAAUACUUGUGUUGGGCUUCGAAAGUCCAUUAUAGGGACAUAAUUCUUCAAUUAUACUAUGAAUGUUAUAAUAAUUGUAAAAUAUCCAUAAGUUGUCUGAUAUAUUCGGUAAUGCCUCGUAGCCCUGUUCCGGCAACGGUUUGGGGUUAGGGGGUGUUACAAGUCUCGAGACACAAUGGUCAAGUCUCGAGAUGCUGUGAACAAAAUUGACCAUUUUAAGUAUUUAUGGGUAAUGGUCCCGAGAAACAUUCAACAUGUCUCAAGAAAUCAAUUUUCAAGCCUCUUGACAAGUGCCCCUUGGUCUUUAGAGAAGUAAACAUCGAAUGCAGGGAUCAAAACAGGGGAAGCUUGUUUCGGAACACUUAGUUAAAUUUUGAUAGUUGGGUUUGGAUUUGAGUCUUGACUCUAUAUUUAACCCCGAGUAACGUCGAUGCCUAUUUAAUAAGGUUGUGAACACCUAGUAUGCAUGAUUAUGUCUGUAAUAGAAAAGGUUUUGAAUUAUACCAUGAUAAUAUGCUUAAAUUAUUUCAUAAUUAAAUCCGAAAAUUCUGAGUUGCACAGUAACGUAAUGUAGUGUGACACAUUCGGAUUCGACAAUCAGUUUGGAUGUGGGGUGUCACACUAAGGGUUACCAAUGGAAAUCUAACUAAAGCUUGAAAAUGAGUUUAGCUAUUAGGGAUUCCAAGCCAUUUAUGGGUAAUCUAAGCUGAUAAUCUUCUUAAAAGGAAGAAGAUGAGACAAUUGGUGGUGGUGUUGAUCAAAUAAAGGAUCGGAUGGUGGUGCAAGGUGUGGCGGCUAAGGUGUUUCUAGAGAAGGAAAACAAAGAAAAAGAAAUGAAAAGAAAGAUGGAAAAAGGAGAAGGGGCGUUUGACUAUGGUCAUUGUUGAAGAUGAUGCCGAAUGGUGAAGGUAGCUACUAUGGUGGAAAAAAGGGGGCAACUGUUUGGCGAGAAUUAGAAAAAGGAUGACUCUGUUUAUAUAUGAAGAACGAGAUAAGAAAUAGAAAAAAAAUAAUGUUUAAAAGAUCUUAAAAGGAUCCCAUUUAACUUACGAACGUUAAACCCACUCAUAUGUUGACCGAUUUCAAUUGAACCUUGCAAAGCAAAUCUGAAGCCCAUUACAAAAGUGUUCCUACUAGUUUAUCAUUGGUUGUGGGUAGAUUUGUCCUUAGGUGGCCUAGCAUAAAGGUUUGUUCAAAAAGUAAGAGGGUUUGAGUAAAAAUAUAGGUUCAAAAAGUGAGUUUGGGCAAAAAAAAAAGGCUUGUUCUCAAGUAAUUUUUUUUACCCAGGCCCAAUCCAAAUUUGCAAAAAAAAAAAAUCUAUUAUUUCCCCCACCAUUUUGCUAUCAUUUCACUAUUAUGUUGCUAUUAUUAUGUUGUUAUUGUUUGGAUAUUGUAUAAUUCUUGUUUUAUUAUUAUUGUUACUAUUUUAGAGGCAUUUAUUUAUUAAGUUGUACCUUAUUUAAGUAUAAAUAUUUUUUUUAAAUUAUUUUCAAUUUGUUGGGAAAUAUUUAUUUUAAUGUUAUUAGUGUUUUUGAUGAUUAUAUAUUUUUAAUUUUUUAUAUAAAAAAUUCUAAUACAGACAGAUUGGAUCGGGCCUGGGUUUUAAUAUUUUUAUCUGGGUUGAGCAAGAUUUUAAACCCAUUUUUCAGGUCGGGUCAUACUUGUAUUUAUCAAUCGGACAUAAAAUUUUGUUGUUUCAGUGUCGUAACCAUUUUUUUUGGAAAAAAAAGGAACCGACUUAAAUUUUGAAAACGAAAAUGAAUAGAUGAGUCGCCACCAAUCUUUUUGAUGAGGUGUGAUCGGGUCAUCUCAUAAAAGUGGUUGUUUUUAAUAAAUGGUUUGACUUAUUUAAACAAUGAUUUUGGUCCGCGCAAAUCAAGAAAACAGGUUCGGGAGUCGGUUACGUACGAGGAAGGAUUAGCACCCUCGAUACGCCCAAAAUUGGUACCUAGUUGAUUAAUUAGUGUCUUAGUGUCAAAAAUUUAAAAACUUGAAAGAAUUUAAACCAUGAUCCCUCUUUCUACUAAUGCUAAUUUAAAAAUGAUCGAAUAAAUUAAAACAGAUGUUAAGGACUCUCUCAUCUCGAAGUAAUAAAAUGUCACGCCCAGUAAGUUAGGACACGACAUCUCGAACUUUGAGAAUGGGCUUACUUUUAUUUAAAAUUAAUGUAUUCUAAUUUAUUAAAAGGAUGUUCGGUUAUUUAGGGUAAACGAGAAAAGUCGAAACCCAGUAAGUUAGGGCACAUUUUCUCGAAUUUCUUAAUACCGAAUAUUGCCUUUAUUUGCAAAAGCUCUUAUCUCGAGGUAACAAGAUGUCGUAUUCAGUAAGUUAGGACAAGACACCUCGCAUCUCCAAGAGUAAGCAUUUAUUUCAAAACUCGUAUUGUGAUUUAAAAGAAUAUUCCGUUAUUUAGGUUAAAUGAGAAAAAUCGAAACCUAGUAAGUUAGGGCAAGAUUGUCUCGAAUUACCAAAUACGGAAUAUUACUUUUCUGCAGAUAUAUUCACUGCCACCUUAUGUAAUGAUUCGGGGGUUCCUUCAAAACAGCUAUACCUCAAAGGCAACCCAACUUCUUACGGAAAUGGUUGGUAAGGGCUUUUCUGCAGAUAUAUUCACUGCCACCUUAUUUAUGGAUCUCAUUGUACACUCUAAUAAAUCAAUCUUGCUCUGAAAUGUUUCAUAAAUUGGGUAAAGAUCAUCACUUGCAAUGUGAAUCAGUUUGUAAACAUUGUACAGUGAUAAAAGAUUUGAACGAGGUUUAGUGUCUAUUUGAAUCUUGUUGUUUUAACUUAUUUUCCGAAAAUUAUUUUAAUGUUUUCAUUAUUUUAUAAAAAAAAAACUGUUGUAAAAUAAAGUAAUCAUUUUCAAUCAAAUUUAGAACUUACUUAUUUUGUAGAACUUUAAAUUUAAUACCGAGUCAAAAAAAAUUAUCUUGAGUUCAAAUCUUAUUGAAAGCAUUUUUGUAACCAAUAGAUUCAGAUCGAAUAUUAAUGGAUAUAUUUACAAUUGUAGUAAUGCAGAUUUGGAUAAUGGAUGUCUAAGGAUGUCUAUCCACAUCUACUAGCAAAUAGUAACUUUAAUAUAAGAAUUGUAAUCACUAAUCAUAACUUUGUUAUUGUGUAUAUAUAUUAAAUUUCCUUUAUGAGUAAAUAUUUGUAAAAGGAAAAUAAAAAAAAAUCUAAAUACAGAUAACUUUGGAUGUUCCAUUGUGCUGUAAGACAGGCCACUGAUACAAAUAUAUGUUAUUCCUACAAAGCUUGGAGACACCAGCAAAGUAAGGGAUUCAUGGGGUUUAAGUAACAGAAUAUUCUUUGCAUUACCAUAUUCAUCAUGAAAAGAAAAUAGAGGAACAAUUGUAUCUUAAGCUUUAUAUAUGCCAGAUGGAUCAGUACUCUGAACAAUCCAUGGAUGGUCAAGAAGCUUAUGUAGUGGGAGGCGCUGGGAAGAAUCUUUGACAAGCAUUUGUAAAUAAUGUUGAAGUGUGUUCUGUAUAUGCCAAUGAUGGAGCAUUGUUGUUAUAUUUAUAUAAUUGCAAGUAAUAGAAGCAACUAAAAAUAUCUGACUAAUGAGGUCCUUGGCUGAAGAUGAAACUAUUGGUUUUGGAGAGAACUUCAAAUCCACUUGCACAAUCCUAUGAAUGGGGAAAAGAGUGAACAAGUUGUGACAGGUACUCAAAAAAGGUACCCUAGUGGAAAAGCUAUGAAAAGGACACUUAAGUUUCCAUCAUGUUCUCUAGUGUCUUCAGCUCGGGUUUACCUUCUCUAAGUGUCUGAAUGUUCUUUGGCCUCAAAAGACAGGACUCCAUAUAGAAACUCAUAGCACAACACACCAGGGCUCUAGAUAUCUACACUGGCAUCAUGCUCUACACUUUCAACUGUGGAGAACAUAAAAUAUAAGGUGAAUCUCAGUUCGAUGAGAUGACAAAUAGUGCAACAUUGUAGUGUACCAGUUAGUUCUAUGGUUUACUACAUAGUGCACCGCACAUAGUCCGCCUGCGAUUAAAUGUAUGCACUGACCAUCCAAAAUCUGCAAUCUUUAGUUCGCCCUAACAAGGAAUCCAAAUUGACUAGAUAACUACAAUGAGACUUUCAUUGAAUAACCAAACGAGUACUAGCCAUGGGUUAGGAAUCACCUGUGCACCAAUUAACAGGUUCUCAUGUUUGAUAUCUCUCUGUAUGACAUGCUUUCCAUGACAUUUAAGUGCUCGAGCUAAAAAGGCAACAUACUGCAACAAAUAACGUAAGCAUACAACAUAUGAAUCCAUCGAAACACAGUACCAAGAAGAAACUCACGGUAGCAGCGCGUCUUUCACUAAAACAUUUACAUUUUUGCAGUUGUUUGUAAAGUUAACCUUUGGCUGCAUAUUCCAGAAUCAGAUAAACACGUUUCUGCAAAAAGGUUGUAUUCAGAAAACCAAAUGUUAAUUCAUAUAUAACAUUUUCAAUUACAUACAUACAUUGUUGAAUUAUCAAUAUAGGCUUAUACCUGAUCAUAGAAAUAUCCAUAAAGCUUCAAUAUAUUGGGAUGACAUAGUUGAUGUUUAACUUGAGAUUGUUGUAGUUGGCUUUUAAAAAGACUUUUGAGGGCCACAAUAUGAUUGCUCUACUGGAAAAAUACACAAGGAUCUUGCCACAAAUAGUCAUGUGGUAGUUAAUUGCAUACAUAUAACACUUGCAGUUUUUUAUUUGGAAUGUAGGCAACAAUCUUGAAUUUUUGGGUAUUUUUAUAAAAUUUAAGAUGUGGGCAACAAACUUGAAUUUCAAUUAUGCUUUAGAAUAUCUCGGGGUUUUGUGAAAUCAACUAAAGUUAUAGGAACUAUAGUUGUCACAUCUCAUAUGGAUUAUAUCCAAAUCGUAGUAGCUAUUCUUUUUUUUACAUCAAUGUGUAUUUGGGAAUGCCAUAUACCAUCUUUUGUUACACCUUUUUUUCUUUUUUUUUUUUAAUUUAUCGAACUGGAUAUUUUAUUUAUAGUUAACAAAACAAGCAAAAACAUACAUGAUCCUAAACAGCUGAGCGAUCCAAUUCGGGAAAAACAUAAAAAAUGGUUCAGUUAGUAUCCAGGCGAGAUUAAGUUUAUUCCACAUUUCCAUUGUUACUGGACACUCCCUAAACACAUGAUCAAUAGUCUCUGAACCCCCUCCACAUUUGGGGCAUGUUGUGUUUACUUUGGUUCUUCUGUUAUAGAGAUUUAGUGUAGGCAAAAAAUUCCAAGAAAUUUUCCAAGUUAUAAUUUUCUGUUUUGUAGUUAAUUUUAAAUUUCACAAUUUCUUGUAAAAGCCCUUAUAGCAUUUUGAAAAUUUGUAAAUUGGUUAUCACAACAACCAUCAAGGAACAACUUCUAAGCACUUCUCACCGAGAAAACACCUGAAGGUUCAUCUCUCCACACUAACAUAUCCUCAUCCUCCAACUUGGCUGAAAGGGUUCUUAUAAUUUUGUUAGCAACACUCUCCUCAGGGGUAUUCCUUAUCAAACCCACAUCCUAUUUCCAGUGAGAGUGGUCAAUUAAGUCAUAUGCAUUUACUAUGUUACUGUCAUUGAUAUUUUCAUAAAAUAUGUAAAUUUUAGCCCCUACCAACCAAGCAUCCUCUCAAAUAGAAAUUUGGUUGCCUUUACUAACCUUCUAACCAAGACCGUCUUGUAGCAGUCCCUUUGUUGCCCAGAUGGUUUGCCAGGCAUAAGAAGGUGGAUUUCCUAACUUUGUUUCCAAAAAAUCACAAUGCGAAUGGUACUUAGAUUCUAAAACAUUUUUAACAUUUUUAUCCAGGUCAGGCUUAGGUAAAAUUUAGACCUAUUUUUGGCCCGGCCCUAAAAUUUUAGUUGGGUCCAAUUCAAACCCGACCCAGCCUAUGAACAGCUCUAGUAAUAAACAUAUUUUUUUAAUUAAUUUUAUUAUUGUUUAAUAAAUUAAUAAGUAAUUUUGUUAAAAUAUUAUAAGAUAAUAAGUGAAUAAUAUAUAUUGAUAUUUUAAUUGAGUAAAAAAUAUAAGAUAUUUAAUAUUGGAAUUUUAUAACUUUAAUUCAAAUAUUAUAUUGAUAUAAAUAGAAUUUUAUUAUUUUCCCUGCACAUCGAAUGUCGAUGCAUUAUUUUGACUAAGUUUUCAAUUUUCUGCUACUGCCGCCGCCAUAUCUGCUUUCAUUUUGCUUACUUUCAAGAUAUGGGUAAGCUUCCUCCUCCUUUUAUUCUUCGUUCAGUUGUUAAUGGUGGAAGCCAUCUUUCUAAUUGCCACUCUUUUUCUUCUUCUUCUAACACCAUUGCUACCCACAUCGAAGCCCUAAGUAAGAAACCCAUGUCCAUGCCUGUUAGAGGAAAGGGAAAAAGAGACCACCGCUUCGAUAAUGUUGAUGAUGCUUUGAUUUUGUUCAAUAAGAUGAUUGAAAAGUACCCAAAGCCUUCAAUUGUGGAAUUUAAUAAAUUAUUAGGAGCCAUUGUUAGGAUGAAACAUUAUGCCAUUGUUGUUUCUAUGUAUAGACGGAUCGAAUUAUUGGGAGUUUCCCACGAUGUUUAUUCUUUGAGCAUCUUGAUUAAUUGCUUUUGCCAAUUAGGUCGAAUUGAUUUUGGGUUCUCUCUUUUGGGGAAAAUGUUGAAGUUAGGCGUUGAACCUGAUGUUGUAACUUUUUCGACUUUGAUUAAUGGAUUCUGUAAUCAGGAUAAGAUUUUUGAGGCUGUCAGUAUAUUCGAUGAAAUGACUGAAAGAGGGUAUCAACCUAAUUUGAUUGUUUACAGUACAAUGCUUAAGGGGUUGUGUAAGACCGGUAAUACUUGUAGAGCUGUUAGGUUUCUAAGGCUGAUGGAGAGCAGAGGUUUUGAACCUGAUAUUGUAGCAUAUAAUACCAUCCUUGACUGUCUUUGUAAGAACGGGUUGUUGAAGGAGGCUCUCGAUCUCUUCUCCGAAGUGAAGGAUAAAGGCAUUAGACCAGAUAUCUUUACUUACAAUUGCUUAAUUCAUGGUAUGUGUAAUUUCGGCCAGCAGGAGGAGGCAACAACGCUUUUGAAUGAAAUGGUUGAUAACAAUAUUUCACUUGAUAUUGUUACAUAUAAUAUAUUGAUUGAUGCACUUUGCAAGGAAGGAACGAUUUCUAAAGCUGUAGAGAUUGUUGACACAAUGAGAAAGCAAGGCAUUGAACCUAAUGUUGCCACGUAUAAUAAAUUGGUUGAUGCACAUUGCAAGGAAGGGAUGGUCUCUGAAGCUGAGGAUAUCGUUGACGCAAUGAUAAAGCGAGGCAUUGAGCCUAAUGUUGUUACCCAUAAUGCAUUAAUCAACGGCCAUUGCUUGCAGAACGAAAUGGAUAAAGCUGGAAGACUUUUCAACUUGAUGAUUGAGAAGGGUUGUGCACCUAAUAUAGUUACUUACAGCACCAUGAUCAAUGGAUAUUACAAAGCGAAGAGGUUAGACGAAGCAAUGGAACUCUUUCAUGAAAUAUCUCAAAAGGGACCAAUCCCGAAUACUGUCACAUACAGCACUGUAGAGACCGUUGACACAAUGAGAAAGCAAGGCAUUGAACCUAAUGUUGUCACGUAUAGUACAUUGGUUGAUGCGCAUUGCAAGGAAGGGAUGGUCUCUGAAGCUGAGGAUAUCGUUGUCGCAAUGAUAAAGCGAGGCAUUGAGCCUAAUGUUGUUACCCUUAAUGCAUUAAUCAACGGCCAUUGCUUGCAGAACAAAAUGGAUAAAGCUAGAAGACUUUUCAACUUGAUGAUUGAGAAGGGUUGUGCACGUGAUAUAGUUACUUACAACACCAUGAUAAAUGGAUAUUGCAAAGGUAAAAGGUUAGACGAAGCAAUGGAACUCUUUCAUGAAAUAUCUCGAAAGGGACCAAUCCCGGAUACUGUCACAUACAACACUCUUAUGCAAGGUAUGUUUCAGUUAGGGAAAGUUUCAACUGCUUGUGAACUGUUUAGAAAGAUGCUUGCUUCAGGACAAGUUCCAGAUAUAGUGACCUGUACUAUUUUGCUAGAUGGUUUAUGUAAAACAGGUCAUAUCGAAGAGGCAUUGGAACUUUUUCAAGCGAUGCGAAACAGGGGGUUGGGACUUGAUAUUGUCCCAUAUACUAUCCUAAUUGAUGGGUUGUGCAAAGCUGGGCAUAUCGAAGUUGCAAAGGAAUUAUUUCAUCAACUCUCAGACAAUGGUUUAAAACCGGAUGUUUAUGCUUAUUGUAUAAUGAUUAAUGGACUGUGUAAAGAGGGAUUGCCAGAUGAAGCAUACAGGUUGUUUGGGAGGAUGGGAGAUAAUGACUGUUUGCCUAAUAGCUGCUGUUAUAAUGUAAUGAUUCGGGGGUUCCUUUGCAAUAGUUAUGCCUCAAAAGCAACGCAACUUCUUACAGAAAUGGUUGGGAAGGGCUUUUCUGCAGAUAUAUUCACUGUCACCUUAUUUAUGGAUCUCAUUGUACACUCAAAUAAAUCAAUCUUGCUCUGAAAUGUUUCAUAAAUUGUGUAAAGAUCAUCACUUGCAAUAUGAAACGGUUUGUGACCAUUGUACAGUGAUAGAUUCUGGAAACUUGAAU
rnacentral:lncRNA from 1 species